CAGUCUGGCUCUAUGAGCACAGUAACCACCACUGGGGUCCAAGCCGAGGUCAAGGCUGUCUGCUAAUGUGGUAACUACCAAAGUGGCAGCAAUAAUGGUGGUGUUUUCGGGAGCGGGACGAAAUUGACGGUCCUCGGCCAGCCCAAGGCCUCUCCCACCGUCCACCUCUUCGCCCCGUCSUCCGAGGAGUUAACGACGACGAACAAAGGCACGCUGGUGUGCCUGAUGGAGGACUUCUACCCGGGCUCUGUGGAGGUGCAAUGGGUGGCUGAUGGCAGCACGAUCAGCAGYGGUGUGGUGACCAGCCCGCCCCAGAUGCAGAGCAACAACAAGUACAUGGCCAGCAGCUACCUGUCGCUGGAGGCCAGCCAGUGGCAGAGUUACAAUUCUGUCUCGUGCAAGGUCAGGCACGAGGCCGGAAAUGUGGAGAAGACCGUGAGCAGAUCCGAGUGCGCUUAACACCACCCUGCCAGCCCUUUGCUGGCUCCCUUCCUUCUCCUUACUUCUGGGAACAGCGGCUCCUUCCCGCUGCAGAUGUCUUUCCUCACAUGCCCCUGUUCCCUGCUACUGUCCCCCACUCUGAGUGUCACACAAAUAAACACCGACACUGAA